rnacentral:rRNA from 1 species
UGGGGAAUUUUCCGCAAUGGGCGAAAGCCUGACGGAGUGACGCCGCGUGUGGGACGAAGGCCUUCGGGUCGUAAACCACUGUCAGUGGGAAAGAUGGGUGUCGACGCGAUAACCGUCGGCAUCUGACGGUACCUGCAGAGGAAGCCCCGGCCAACUCUGUGCCAGCAGCCGCGGUAAGACAGAGGGGGCAAGCGUUGCUCGGAAUUACUGGGCGUAAAGGGCGCGUAGGCGGGAUGGCAAGUCGGUCGUGAAAUCCUUCGGCUCAACCGAAGAACGUCGAUCGAUACUGCUGUUCUUGAGGAUUGCAGAGGAGACUGGAAUUCCCGGUGUAGCGGUGAAAUGUGUAGAGAUCGGGAGGAACACCGGUGGCGAAGGCGGGUCUCUGGGCAAUUCCUGACGCUGAGGCGCGAAAGCGUGGGGAGCAAACGG